rnacentral:lncRNA from 1 species
CUUGUGUUCGGUUCUGUCUAUUGACACCAAGCCUAGGCUAGACGGAACUUCAUGAUCAUUUAAUGGAAUGCUCAAAACCCAUGCUAGUUGUUCAGGAAUCUUUUUGAAUCAAAGCAAGCUAACAUGUGUGAUGCUAUAGAGAAAUGUUUUUGCACAAUGCAAUGUUGCAUGAAUCACGAGUGAUGAAAGCUUUCUUCAUUUACUCGUCUGGUUAUAUAUUGGACUUUGUGAUGCUUUAUUCAUUGAAGUAUCUAUUAUUCCUUGCACUAAUGAUAACAUUGAGCAACAAACCUGGAUUAUUAAUGAGAUUAGAUUGUUAUACAUGGUAGCUGCUGCAGUUCCGCUUUUAUAUGCAAUUUGCAUGUACAAGGAUUAUGAAAUAUUAAACCAUAGGAUGCUGCUAACUCUAAUGGACAGAAUAAGCAAUAUGAAAAUGCAAAAUGGAGCAUGGCUAUAUGGAUUAAUUCAAGUGACAUCAAGUGACCCUGAACCCUUUGCUUAUGACUUUGACAGAAGCAUUAUUAUGAAUGAUUGGUAUCACCAGAGUACUAAUGAAUAAACCAUUGGAUUGUCUUCAAAUCCUUUUGUAUGGUUGAGGAGACCACAGUCAUAUGAUUACAUCUGAAAAGGAUAAGACAAAGCCAAAGUAUCCCCUGUCAGUUACACAUUCUUAACAUAAAUGGCAGUGUUAUAGAGAAAACAAUCAUGAAAUAAUUAAAAGAGAAUCAAAGGGAGUGAUCCAGCCGUGGGGUUAUCAACAGGCAGAAGUUCAAAGGUGGCAGUGUAAAACAUACACCAGAAAUCCUACCUCAUUUCAGUUACGUUUGAGAAAAGUCAGCCAUGAAUGUGCAUAAAAGAGAUGCAUGGUAGUGUUAUUGCUAUAUCAGUUACAGUUAGCAUAAUGGCUAGCAGUUAUUUGGGGCAUCCUAACAGGUGCUCUGAAUCAGUAGGCAAAAGAGAGCCCAAAGGAUGUCAAUCAGGUAAUCAUCGUUUCAGUUACUAAAUAUCAGUAGUCAUAGGCAGAUUUAAUACAGUAAUCAGUAUGCAAUAAUCAGCAUGAGCAAGCAAUCAUUAGGCAGUUUCAAAACACAAGGGUCAGGAUUAUUCCUGACUUUCAAUUAGCAACCCAAAGAGCACCACUACUCAGCUAUAAAAGGAGAGGCAUUACAACCAGAAAAGGGGGGUUCACCACACGAAAAUUAGAGAAAACAGAGCAUAUAUGCAGUGCUGUAAGGAUAAACAACACAGUGAGAGAGGCCAAAUCUCCUCUCAAAAUUCUAACACUACAGCACCUUCUUAGUCAGAAUUUCUCAAUCAACCCCACUAAAACUUGUCGUCCUCUCUUUAUCCUAUCAUCCCCAAAAAUUCCAUGAUACCAUACAUAUAUCAUAUACACUGCACUCAGCAAAAAAAAAGAGAUAACAGCAUAAAGAUUGACAAAAAAAUCAGAGGGCACUCAGUGAAAAAAACAGAGAAGAGAGUUAGUAAAAAAGGAGUAACGCACGAAGAAAGUUCACUUAUCAUACCAAUUCAUACGACCAUAACCGGAAAGUAACCACAAUACAUACAUUCAGGCAAAAGCAACCCAGGGAUAGAGUUAUAAGUCAAGAAUGCAGUGACACAUAUAGCAACACAAAGCAUACAGCCAGGUAAGCAUUCCAACCAUAAAAAUUAUUUUGUGAACAUACCUUGCUUUAUAUGAUAUACGUGCUAGGCUUGGAUGCUUAAUUCAUCAUUAUCUUUAAUCAAGCAUACCCAUUGGUCUCAACAUAAUGUAUCUACUUAAGUAAAAAAAAAUUAAUUAAGAAUGAAAUUGAUGAUGCAAUGCGAAAACCUUAAGGUAGCAUAAUUCGUUUUGUAUGAUCCUUGUUCUCUCAAACCAGUCUUUCAUCAUUCAAACUCCAUAAUAUAAAGUUAAAUAGAAGAGGGAUAAAAUUCCUCACCGAAUUGUUGCCUCUGCCGGUUCCGAAUCACGAAUGCUCUUCUUCUCCCAACACAACACCCUCCUCGGUACCACCUCUUCAACCCAACCUCAUGAGCCUCUGUCACCACCGAGUGUCACCUUGAACCACCGCAUCUCACCGUGAACCACCUUUGGCCGUGAUUGUUGUUCAUCGCCGCUGGAGGACGAAAGUCAGUCACCGUCGCGCCCUCAUUUACCACCAUCGCGAAUCAGACCUGCCUCGUUCUAGCCACGAACGAUGCUCCUUAUCGCCGCCGCUGCCAUUGAAGGUGGAGAAGAAGAGGAGAUUUGGGAAUUUAUCCCCAUUCUUCCAGGCUAGGGAUUCUAAUCCCUCAUUCACGUGAAACAAGGGUUAACCCCUUUCUUUUUUUC